GAUCCCGCUCACAUUUUUUCGCUAAAUUCUAAUCUCCCACCCAAUCUCUUACUAAAAAAUUUUCACACCAGACCAAACAAACGCCAUACUCUCUAUCAGCUAUCCCUUCCUCUCUCAUAUCUCUCCCCCUUCUUCUCUUAAUCCUCGUUCAAACUAAUCCAAUCAUCCAGUUGUCUGGGUGAAUGCCUCUCUCUCUCCCAAACUAAAUCAGAUCUAACAAUGAAUCGACAAGAAAAUCUGAUUUUGCUUUUGGCAAUGAGACGAUAUUGGUUCAACACCAGAAAUCUAAGCACUUUAAGUGCCAUGUCUGCCACAAGAAGCUUUCUACAGUUGGAGGUAUGGCCAUUCAUGUCCUCCAGGUCCACAAAGAGAACGUCACCAAAAUCUCAGAGGACCCAAAAGAGAGAGUAGCACAGACCGCAAAUCAACAAAUUGCUUCAGUUGAGGACGAAGAGAGCAUCUCAGAUUGUGAUUUCUAAUCAUUAAUUCAGAUGCGACGGAAUUUCUAAACUUGGUGGAUGACUCGGUUCAAGCAGAUCAAAGUCUUAUGCACGAUUUUGAUGAGUUUCUGAAGCACUAUGACAAGGUAGAUGCAUUGGUUUCUCUGAAUUUUGGACUAGGAGUAGGACUGUACGUGA